rnacentral:siRNA from 1 species
UAAAGGUGCUUUGGUUAUGAU